CUGUUUGAUCCUGGCUCAGAACGAACGCUGGCGGCAGGCCUAAUACAUGCAAGUCGAGCGCGCCCUUCGGGGUGAGCGGCGGACGGGUGAGUAACGCGUGGGAAUAUGCCCUUCUCUAAGGAAUAGCCUCGGGAAACUGAGAGUAAUACCUUAUACGCCCUACGGGGGAAAGAUUUAUCGGAGAAGGAUUAGCCCGCGUUAGAUUAGGUAGUUGGUGGGGUAAUGGCCUACCAAGCCUACGAUCUAUAGCUGGUUUGAGAGGAUGAUCAGCCACACUGGGACUGAGACACGGCCCAGACUCCUACGGGAGGCAGCAGUAGGGAAUCUUAGACAAUGGGGGAAACCCUGAUCUAGCCAUGCCGCGUGUGUGAUGAAGGCCUUAGGGUCGUAAAGCACUUUCGCCAGAGAUGAUAAUGACAGUAUCUGGUAAAGAAACCCCGGCUAACUCCGUGCCAGCAGCCGCGGUAAUACGGAGGGGGUUAGCGUUGUUCGGAAUUACUGGGCGUAAAGCGCACGUAGGCGGAUUAGUAAGUUAGAGGUGAAAUCCCAGGGCUCAACCCUGGAACUGCCUUUAAUACUGCUAGUCUUGAGUUCGAGAGAGGUAAGUGGAAUUCCAAGUGUAGAGGUGAAAUUCGUAGAUAUUUGGAGGAACACCAGUGGCGAAGGCGGCUUACUGGCUCGAUACUGACGCUGAGGUGCGAAAGUGUGGGGAGCAAACAGGAUUAGAUACCCUGGUAGUCCACACCGUAAACGAUGAAUGCCAGUCGUCGGGGAGCAUGCUCUUCGGUGACACACCUAACGGAUUAAGCAUUCCGCCUGGGGAGUACGGUCGCAAGAUUAAAACUCAAAGGAAUUGACGGGGGCCCG
rnacentral:rRNA from 1 species